CCCCUUCGGAGGAGACGCUUCUGGGUCUCUUUUCUUUCUGUUGCAGUUCUUUUAAACGCGUUUCUGUGCUUAUUUUCUUUGGUCGUCGGUUAAUAACUGUAAUAUUCUGGGAGUUUCUGCUCAGCAAGCAGAGCUCUGGAGCUCAGAAGAGCUAUUGGAUCUGUUUUGGUUGGAAACUACACCGGCCAAGGACACAGAGAGAUGAGGCAGAAAUAGAAUAAGCAGAACUGAGAAUGAUACUGACUCUGCAGAGCUCUGCAGCCUUGCUGCUUUUUAGCUUCCUGAUUGGACUGUGCUACACUCUGAACCCCAGAGACCCAAAUGUGUGCAGCCUGUGGGAGAGCUUCACCACGUCGGUGAAGGAAUCUUACUCACAUCCUUAUGACCACGUGACACAGGAGCCUUGCUCAGAUCCUCGGACCUCCUACAGAUGCGCACGUACAGG